CAAGGAGCUGCCCUGUACUUGAGGCUACCUGUCCAGGAACCAGGUUACCUGGAAGCAACUUAGCCCAGGAGCACAGGACAGCAGAGUGUGGAUGCAAGAAUCCAUUGCAGCAGACAUCAAGCUCCGGCCUGGACAGUGACCUUCCCUGCCUUGCAGUGCCUGAGGGACCCUAAUAAGCCUAGCCCAGACACAGCCUGGUCCCAAUUAAAUCUCCACCCAGCCAUCUAGGAGGCGUAUGCCAGGGCAUGGAGACAGACUCCAGGCACCAUGGCUGCCAUUCCAAAGGGGAGGGACAUGAGUAAAUGAGCCACAUGCUGUCAUCCCCUGAGAAGAAUGAAGAGACCGAAGUGGCAGGGCCUGGAGACUGCAUUUGAAAGAUCAGGGAGGCACGUACAACUCGGGCCUAACAAAUGCCAAGGAAUCUUCAAACAUUCCAAGUAAAGAAACCAACAGGGCAAGGGAUUGGAGGUGAUGUAGCCAGAGAAGGGAGUAACAGCAGCAGCCCCACAGAUGGCAGGCCCUAGAGAACAUGGCCUGAGAGCUGUCUAGGGUUGCCAGCCCAGGAACUCUAUCUUUCCCUCCACUCCCAGAGUCUCUUCUCCCUAGAGCUGAGAAGCCCCUGACCAUGCUGCCUGGCUUCACCCUUGCACUUCCACUUUCCUUUCCCCUCGGCACGGGCUCAGGUGCUCUCUGAGCCGGAGUUGCCCUAUGGUGGCAGUCCUGAGGGCUUGCGUCCCAUAAGGUUCCUGAGCUUCCUGCCUACUGUGUGCUGGCCAUGUCUUGGGGGUGAUGUAGGUCACAGACCCUCAGAGCCCACCUAUUGUAGCUAGGCUCUCCUAGUGUGCUGUACACACAAGGGUAUCAGGCCAGAGAUUAGGACAUGGUGCGGGCACAGCUCAGUUGUGACCUUGCUCUGCCUCACGAGGUUGGGAAGAGUGUUGGGGAGCUUGUUAGUCCUUUCCUAUCUGUCCCAGGGCAGCUCCCAGUAGCUGAGCCUGACACCUGAGAGCUGUCCUCAUGUCCUUUGCUGUCUUUUGUUCCAAGGGCCGUCCCUAAGUGUCCUUCUUGGACCUGGUAGCAGCCUUCAUCCCAGCUAUAUAUACACAUCCAGUGUCCCUCCCCCUGGAGGAGGAAGGAGGACAUUAAACUACAGGUUAGUGUUGAUCUGAGGAGGCCGUAGUGAGGCUUGUGGGUGCCACUGUCUAAAGAUACACUUCACGUGACUGCAGUAAAUGCAGUGUCUAGAAGCUGGGCCAGCUGGUGCCUUAUAGUGCCGGUGAUACC
rnacentral:lncRNA from 1 species